rnacentral:piRNA from 1 species
UCGUGUUCUAUGAUAAUGAAAAGC